UGGACAUCUCCACCUCCAGGCAGCGGCCCGUGGCCCGGCUCACAAUGGGGCCACUCUGUGGGGACAGGCACAUCAAGUCAGCCAGGUGCAGGCGUCCUUGUUCCCCCUCCCCCCACCUCAGGGAGGCUGCUUCGUGCUCUCAGCCCUCGUGCUCAUUCUUGGGGCAGCUUGAAUGGAAAGCCAGCAUCACAGCAGCACCCAGGGGGGCCGGGAAGGGGCUGACUUCAGUGGAGCUUCGAGGAUUUCCCAUCUUUCCUGCAGGGCUAGCGGCCCAGGUUGGAAUCAUACCUCAUCCCCUUCCUAAAUCCUCCCUCUACCCUGGGCACCUGAGGCUGGAAGAGGCAGAUGCAGGGCUAUGAUCAGACUGUCCAGCCCGACCCCUCUCUGGCUGUGUGACCCUGACCAGUCACCUGCCCUCUCUGUGAGCGUCGGGGCCCAUAAGGGAACAGCUGAUCCAAGGCCCGGUCCCCUGACCACCCCCUGCCGCACUCCAGCUCCCACCCAAUGGGCUGGCUCUAGUGGCAGAGGCACCCAGGGGUCCCAGCAGCCCUGCCCCGCCCCAACCCCACGGCCCCCCUUCCCCAGAGGCUGACCUGGGUGAAGUCCCACAGCCGCUGUGUUGGCCGCGCCACAUCCUCACACUUCUUCAGGGUGGGCAUGCGGCCCGUGCCGUCAUCCACCAGACACUUGGAGUCAGGCAAGAAGGCUGUGGAGCCCAGAGGCCCCAGCUGCAGCAGUCCAUCAGCGCUGUACCGCACCAGCUGGGGACAGGACCACCGGGACUGUGUGUGAGCAGCGCCCAGGCUCUCCCCAGUGAGCACUGACAGGCCGUGCGAGCUGCCUUGAGCUGCAAACGGGGCCCUGCGCGGCUGCCUUGGAGCCUCCCACCCCGGGGACGCUGUUGCGGGCGGGAGAGGACCGCCGGGCAGGGCCCACGUGGGGAUGCGGGCUGGACGGCGCCCAAAUGCUCCGCAGGGCCAGGCUCCCGGCUUGCACAGCUGGCUGGUCUUCCGCCUGGACAGACGUCAUGAAUGUGGCUCAGACCCAGAGCGCGGCCCCACUCGUUUCGGGGAGGACAGGAGUUGGGUUUAAUUUGGGCAACAUGCAGUGCCGUGUGUGAGCGGAACACGCAUUCCCGUGGGGUUAGAAACGUCCAGCUCCUUAUGGGGGUCAUGGUCAGAAUGGCCUGGACCUUCACUACGGCCAGCCCCUGACCACUGUGAUUCUGCGGGGCUGGGGCUGGGGCUGGGCCUGGGCCUGUGCUGCAGGUGAGUCCUGCCCAGGUGGGGAGUGCUCGGAGGUCAACAGCACUAUUGCCGUGUUAAUCCACCCCCCGAGCCAAUGCUUCCCACACUUCGCUUCAAUCACGCGACAGUCCUGAGCGGAUGGAGUGCACUGGUGUGAUCUCAGCUCAACCUCCGCAUCCCAGGCUCAGCGACAGGGUUUCGCCACGCUGCCCAGACUGGUCUCAAUUCCUGGGCUUAAGUGAUCUGUCUGCCUUGGCCUCCCAUCGUGCUGAGAUGACAGGCGUGAGCCACUGCACCCGGCCCAGGCUGUUUUCAAUUCCCCGUGUUCUGCUACCUUCCAGGUGGGGCGGGCUGGGAGGCCUCUUCUAGAGGGGCCCUCAGGCUGCUCCAAGCCCUGGAAUGCAGCCCUGGUGGCCUCAGAACACCCCAGCAGGCUGGACCCGUGCCUCUGCCCCAGGGUGUAGGGUCCGGGUGGCCUGGGGUCGUCCCCUUGGGAGCUGCAUGGGUGGCCGCUGCUACUCCUACCUGGGAGGACAUCCCGUGGCAGGGGUAGAGGAUCGCCCGGUCGCCGUCCUCCGCUCCCUGGUCCAGACAGUAGGCACUGGCUUUGCUGUUUCUCACCUGCAAGCAGAAGCCCCAGGAGAAAGUCCAGAGUCACCCGAGGGUGCGGCCCCAGGGAGCUUCACGCAGCCAGCUCUGCAGCCAGCACCUAAGGAGGAACCCUGACAGCCCUCUGAGAACAAGCCCGGGCCAGACUGCUGGGGGAUGUGUUGUCAUCGGGCAGCCAACCUCCAGCCUCCAGAACAGGCCCAUCGGAGAUCAGCACAGCCUGGAUCAGGCCAGCAGCACUGCCUGGGUGGCCCCGGCUCGUGAGCAAGUGUAGAUGCUUAUUGCUUUUGUCCACCGCGUCUCCAGGCUGCUGGGUUUGCAGCAGCAGCUGACCCAUCCACCACGGCCACCACGAGAGGUCACACAGGUACCACUUGAAGCUGCGACACUUCAGCCUCUGACGCAGGGCCAGCCUCUCAGACACGUCCCCGAAGUCCACCCCUGGGUUCUGCAAGGCCAGAAGUAGGUGAGAGGAGGGUCUGAGGCAGCUGCUCCUGAUGGGAAGGACCCUGCCAGAGGCCAGCCCCGGCCUGGACAGACGGCCCCUGCUGCAGCCGGCUCGUCCACACCCACCCGGGCCCAGGAACCUCCUGCCUGAGAAGACGGCCCUGCUCACCUGGCCUUACUGCACGGCAUCAGCCUGACCUCUGGAGGGUGGAGACUGAGGUCAGCCAUAUCCAGAGACCAGCCUGGCGUCUCUUCCCUCUGCUGACUUUGACCCGUGUCCUCUGCCGUGAGAACCCACAGCCGAGUGCGGUGUCUGUGUCUUCCUGGGACUGUGGGGCCUGAGAGGCUGUAGGGACCAGCACUCUCUGACGGACAGCCAGCCCUGAGGGAGCACCUGCACCCUGCCCAGGGACCCUCCAGGCUCAGGCCUUGUGGGGAGGGCAGACGACUUGGCCUUCACGGCCUGGGCUUGAAUCCCGUCACCUUCUGGUAUGUGGGCCUGGGACAGUCCCCUAUCUUCUCUGUGCCUCAGUUACUCAUUGGUAAAGUGGGGACGAUCACGCCAGAAACUCAUUGUUGCUCUGUUAUGAGGUUUUAAUCAGCCAAGGGGCUCACACCAGGGCCCUUGGACACGGAGGUGACAGGCAUUUGCCGGCCUCACUGCCCGGGGGCCUGGAGCACCUCACUCAGUUGCCCACACACUUGGGGAGGUCAUCACCCUGCACGUUUUCCUUAUCACUUCAUGGAAAACAAGGCUGUAGGAGCACCGGGUACCCUCUUCUCGUCUCUCAGACACGAGUGCACGUGUCUACGGCUCCUGAUCUGCCUGGCGGGAGCUGAUAUGGGGGCUGGAUGCUGGAUUUGCAGUGAAUGGUCCAGCCCGGGGCCACUUCAGGCCGUGUCACCCACACGCUGGGGUGCACUCUAGCAGGGGGUGGUAAGCCAAUUUAGGGGCUGUGGUGGGAAGUUUUAAGAAGUAGUAAUAUUGUAAAUGAGAAGGGUCACUUUGGUGCUACGUACACAAAGCGCUGUAUGUGGACAGAUGUAAAUGUAUGCGUGUGUGCGCUGGGUCAUGACUUAAGAUCUGGCUCAUUAGGGUUGAUGCAGACAAGCCCGUUUCUAAGAUGAGCCCUCCCAGAACUCAGGGACCCAGUGCCUGCAGUGGCCAGGGAAGGAAGGGGGUGGUUCCAGAGACGCUGGGGUGUGGCGGGAUGGGUCGCGGCCACCCGUCUCAGUACCUGCCUUUCUUAGGGUUGUGGGGGUGGGGCGCUUUGAGAAAAGCCAGAAUUCAGGCUCUUUAUGGGAAAUUACAAAUUAGAAAACAAACAGCAAUCCUCAACUUGAAGCGGGUCAGCCACUCAUAGGCCAAAGCCCAACAGGAAACAACCAAAAACGUCCAUCCACGGACGAGUGGAUCCACACGAGGGGCCCUUUCACACUGUGGACGUGACUCAGCCAUGGUGGGGGUGACCUGGAAAAGGUGGCGCUGAGGACGGGAAGCCACACAGCGUAUGAGCCGUUCAUGAAACCGCCAGACAGUUGAGGCUGCCCGGGGCUGGGGAGGGGUCCGCACUGGCUGACAGGUGCUGUGCAGGGCACUAAGUGGGGCCCUGGCUGAGGCGGCGGCACCAGGUUGGGGAGAGGCCGCCCCUCCCUGGCUUCUAACCACGGGGCAAUUGCUCUAGGCUGAGAGGAAAAACGCCCACCACACCGGGGUGGGUGUGAGCUGGUCUCUUCCCAGUGUGAGGAAGGCUCCUUCCCAGGCAGACAGCUCACCCACUCACACCUGCACACACAACUGCUUGCACCUGUGCACACCUGUCAACACACCCACUCACACCUGCAGGGGGCCCUAGGGGGCCUCCCUCCGGCCCAGCCCUGCCGUGGCAUUGACCCCGACCCUGGGGCAUGGCCCCGGCUCCCGGCCUGUGGGGGACUCACCGACAU
rnacentral:lncRNA from 10 species